AAGAGUAGCUGUCUUAAGACAGCUUAAAGUCAUUAUUUCGAAAAGCAUGAGUUCUUCUAAAAAUUGCAAGCAUUAUUCUUUGAAAAUUUCGCUGGUGGCAUUAGUUAUAUGAUUCAAGCUCUCCCUCAACACUACACAUCUAUACCCCUCUAUCCUCAUCCCUUUACCCGACGUUUGUCUCUUUCUUUCUCCCACUCACGAACCCGAGGUACGCUCGCUCAUUCAAGCUCGACCCCAGUCGACUCGCCAACGAUUCAGUCGCGGUCGACCCGCCACGCUGCGAGCUUUGCUGAGUACGCGUCUGCUCCAAGGUGCCUUUUUCUCUCCUUCAUUCGUCUCUGCUUCUCCUAUGUUUUCUCCUGUAUCUCUAUUUGAUCACCUCCGUCUUCCUAUUGCACUAUAUUCUCUCCUUCACUCUCUUUUUUUCUCUGGGUUUCAUCUCAUUCCGAUCGAGUCAUCGUUCUUUAAGAAAGAUAAUGCAGUUCUCUUAAAGGAGCAACGAGAUUUCUGUUUAAUUCAUCAACUGAAGGAAAACGAACUCGCGAACCAGGAUUUGUUUGAUAUAUCUCCAUGGUGAAGGAGAGAAAGAAAAAGACAAAACGCUGUGUGGACGGAAGUGAGAGAUAAUCGCAAAAUUGACUUGAAGGUUCGAAAAUCUUUGGAGCUUGCUCCGCCGCAAUUCAUCGAGAGCUUGGACUCGUAUGCGACAGCGCAGCGGAUCUUGACAAUUUUCUUACAUUGCGAAUGCGCCGAUGAGAACUCGUCCCUGGAAUCACAGCGAACUUGUAAUGAAUCGCUCUGAUGUACGAGCAAACGAAUGUCGAGUGGCCGAAUAUGUCGCGAAUUCAUGUAAAGAGAAAUCAUGACCGUGGAAAAAGGACGUUAGAAUGUAUCAUCGACGACUAUCACAUUGUGCGGCUUCGCUCAAACGCGGAAACGAGCUCUUUCGAUCACGUCGGCUUCCGUUUAUGCCUAAUAAUUAAUUUAAGAUUACGGAAGAAAACUCUUAUACAAUAGUGUAUGUAUGAAUGUUUUUCAUCAAGAAAUAUAUAUCCACGAAGAGACAAGAAAAGGGGCGCGAGGAUCGUGACAGCCUCAAAGAUCGACGCAUCCGGAGAUGUUCCUCGAGGGCUGCGCGGUCCAGGGCUGGACGACUCACUUGCGUAAAAGGAUGUAUGUGCUGUCAAUAUGUGACUCGGUGAGCAACGCGCUGCGAUAAUGGAGUGAUUCGGUAGUCGUGAUAACGCCUAUGGUACACGUGCGCGAAUGCCAACAGAUACGAGGGAGUCCUGUGAGAACGUGCUGCGUCAGGUACUUGACGCUUGACAGAACCAAUUUUACUGGAAAUUGCGAGGGAUUGCAAGUGGAGAUCCGAAAACUUAUAUAAUAUUAUGGCUAAAACUAAAAAGACGCAAAUAAAAAAACGUGCUGAAAAUUGGAACACAGAGUCCAUGGAAGCUGCUCUUAAAGCAGUUGAACGGAAUAAACUCUCACAGAGAGCCAUUUGCGAAAGGUAUGGAAUUCCUGGUAGGAAUCAUAUGAAAUCUGGUACAAAGCGUCUAGAACGAAAGAGUAUUCUUACCAUAGAGCAAGAGAAAGAUUUAUCACAGCGGAUUUUGCGGAGGCAGAUAUUGGCUUACCUAUAACUUUGAAGAUGUUAAAAUAUCAGACUCCGGACUGCAAGGGAGCCGUGGGGAAGGACCGACGCAAAUCGGGAGAUACUCCGCUUCGUCCUGAGGCUCCUAACGAGCCAGGGGUCGAAUGGAGGACGAAGUAGAAACCUCAGCUCGUGCUCCAUUAAACGGAUACACGAAUCGGACGUACUUUUAAUUUAAAGGGCCCAAACUGGGUUAGUGUGCCGGGAGGACACUUUAACGCCAGAUGUGCCUGUACGUCCGUAUGCCUUGGCUUUUGGUCAUGGUAUUUAAUCCAAGUGACCGGGGAGAGGGCAAAGUAUAACCGCGGAAGAGCUUACAAUAAAUACAAAGAAAGGUUUUUCAAAUUAAUAAACGAGGGUACUAUAAUAGAAGCAA
rnacentral:misc_RNA from 1 species